GAGUGGAGUAGCUCAGUAGCAAGAGCGCCUGUUAUAAAUGCAGGAGGUCGAUGGUGCGAGUCCAUCCUCCACCC
rnacentral:tRNA from 1 species